GACGGAGGGGGCUAGCGUUGUUCGGAAUUACUGGGCGUAAAGCGUACGCAGGCGGAUUGAUAAGCCAGGGGUGAAAUCCCGGGGCUCAACCUCGGAAUUGCCUUUGAUACUGUCUAUCUUCGAGUUCGGGAGAGGUUGGCGGAAUUCCUAGUGUAGAGGUGAAAUUCGUAGAUAUUAGGAAGAACACCAGUGGCGAAGGCGGCCAACUGGCCCGAUACUGACGCUCAUGUACGAAAGCGUGGGGAGCAAACAGG
rnacentral:rRNA from 1 species